rnacentral:rRNA from 1 species
UACGUAGGCAGCAAGCGUUGUUCGGAAUUACUGGGCGUAAAGAGUGUGUAGGCGGUGUCGUAAGUUUGGCGUGAAAUCUUCCGGCUUAACUGGGAGGGUGCGCCGAAGACUGCGAUGCUUGAGGAUCGGAGAGGAAAGUGGAAUUUCUGGUGUAGCGGUGAAAUGCGUAGAUAUCAGAAGGAACACCUGUGGUGUAGACGGCUUUCUGGACGAUUCCUGACGCUGAGACACGAAAGCGUGGGUAGCAAACAGG